UACAGAGGGUGCAAACGUUGCUCGGAAUCAUUGGGCGUAAAGCGCACGUAGGCGGCCCAGCAAGUGGGGAGUGAAAGCCCUCGGCUUAACCGAGGAAGUGCCUUCCAAACUACUGGGCUUGAAUACUGGAGAGGGUCGCGGAAUUCCCGGUGUAGAGGUGAAAUUCGUAGAUAUCGGGAGGAACACCAGUGGCGAAGGCGGCGACCUGGACAGAUAUUGACGCUGAGGUGCGAAAGCGUGGGGAGCAAACAGG
rnacentral:rRNA from 1 species